rnacentral:lncRNA from 1 species
AGCAGAAACCGCACCCUGUUGAUAUGAUAUCAGAAAGAACUACUGACUUAAAACGAGAGGUGUUGGUUUCGGAAGCAGAGAAAAAUAGUCUGGAAACAAAGCCCGGAUCUGGUGCACUUGAAGAGCCAUCAAAGCCAUGCAGACCUGUUCCGCACACGUUUUCAGUAUAUAGCAGGCCUAAGAUGGUAGUCAGCAUUGGGAAAUCAUCGUCUAGUUCAGCCACGGAAAAGUCACCUAAGCCCUCCUCUACUUCCAGGAACUCUAUACCUCCCUCCAAGCAACAACCAAGUGACGGUGAUGAAAACGCUAAUACUAAUGAUGAGGACUGUGUUUCCAGUGAUGCGAUCCGAGAGAGAGAUGGGGAUGAUGAGAAAUCUCUGAAAGAACAUACUAAAUCGAUGCAGCAGAGCCGCGCUUCUCAUUCUUCAGUUUCCAAGACAAGAGACUCUUCCUCUUCCCUAAAGGCAUCUCCAGCAGCUCGGCUUAAUGGUGGCUCUUCUGAGGCUUCUGGUAAACAUUCGCUCUCAGGGACCUUCCAGAAAAAUGACCCUAUGCAGUCUAUAACCGAUGAAGAGGUACGUGAGAGAUGUUGUUAUCCAUUCGCUUUUUUUUUCUAUCUUUCAUCUUCCCUCGGUUUUGACAUUUGUUUCAUUAAUGACCAGCUUGCGUUAAGACUGCACCAUCAACUCAACAGUUCUCCACGAGUUCCUCGUGUCCCACGCAUGAGACAGCCCGGUAGCUUACCCCUGUCUCCCACCGCUACUAGUUUUAAGCGCACCUGUAGUUCCGGUAGCAAGGAUCACACAGCGGUAUGAUUAUCUUUUCAAGUCGAUGAUCUCUCUAGGCUCGAGCAUGUUAGCUGACUAUGCAUCUGUUUCUCUAGUUUUCCAGAAGGAAAAACAAGGACGCGUCCAAAGAAGGGUUACGAAAAUCUCGUGACGAUGAUAGAUGUAGUACAAGGAGUACCAAAUCGCGUCGCCCUCCUGAUUGGAGAACAACACAUCAAGACAGUGGAAGCAGAGGAGGGGAAGAAAAGGAAAACCGAAAAACAUCCUACUCUUCCCGGAGGGUACUUGUCCAGCCAAACUCGACUACAAGCUCAAGCAGCGGAGCGUCUUCAUCCAACGAGCAUAAUAAGCCUUCUCCACACAGUUCCCCGAGGAAUAAUGGUACUCCUGUUCAUCAAACACUGCCUGGCUUAAUCAAUGAGAUUAUGAGUAAAGGCAAGAGGAUGACAUAUGAGGAGCUCUGUAACGCUGUCUUGCCGGUAUACUACUGCCUUCUGAUCUCAGACAUUAUCUAUUUAUCAGUGCUGGUCGCUGUUCUAAUCUGUUGUUGUUUCUUUUCUUGCAGCACUGGCCUCACUUGAGAAAACACAAUGGAGAGCGAUAUGCAUAUUCAAGCCAUUCACAAGCUGUUCUUGAUUGCCUGAGGAACAGGCAUGAAUGGGCUCGUCUGGUUGAUCGUGGCCCCAAGGUAUUUGGCUUAAGCUCACACUCUUUUUACUGUCGUCUUCAGCAUGUAAUAAUCUUCUUUUGUGUUUGUUGUUUCAGACUAACUCAGGGAAAAAGAAACGGAAGCUUGAUGCAGCAGAGGACGAGGAGUCAGAUGAGAACGAAAGCAGCAAGGGAGGAAAGAAGCAGCUGCAUCACUCUCAAGGAGAAGAGUUUCCUAAAGGGAAAAGGAAAGCAAGAAAACGAAGAAGGCUCUCUCUUCAAGGCAAGGGCAUAAAAGCGUUACUAAAGAAGCGAAAUGAACAAGUGAGCGAAGAAGACGAGGAAGGUGCGUCGUCAUCGGAUACAAGUGAAGAGAGUGUAUUCUGCGAAGAAGUAGAAGAGGCCCCCACUGCUAGUGCUAGACAAGUCUCUGCUAGUAGCUCCGAGGAAGCUGAAUCCACUUCAUGACUCCUCUCUCUAUGUAACAUAGAAGUAUAUAUCUAUGCAUUAUGUAGUUUUGUGUAUUUACCAAAAACUUGUCUUGUGUGGAUCAGAGGUUUGUAGAGAACUCACAGCAUCUCUCUUUUCUCGACCGACGAAACAAUAAACAUAUGCUUUUUAGAGAAUGAAGGUGAUUUUCUGGCUGUAGAUUUGCUUCCUCGUUUGGUAUAAUAUAAUCUUACGACUGAUAGAUUAAUAAAAAAAUUGGUCUCAAAUUAAAAUUUGAUUCAACUAAUAUUUUUAAUAAUAAGUGUUUUGCCUACACAUGUAAACAUACACAUUUUAUAAUCACUUUUUAAUACAAGCAUUAUUAAUGUAAAGACUAUAACGAUAAAUUAUUAUUUAUGUUUAUAUUUAAAAAUUCUUACGUAUUAUAAUUUUUGAAUUUGUUUUGUACAUUAUAUUCAUUUUUAAUAAAUAAAUCUUAGAAAUCACACAAUAUUGUCUUUUCAACUAAUCAUUUUGAAUAAUUAAUAGUACAUAUGUAUUUUCUGGUUUUUUUUUAAUUUUUAACCUUUUUAUUAAAAUAUACUUUUCAGAUAACAACACAAUAUACAUAAGAAUUAUAUUUUAUUUAAAAAUAUACUUUUCGGUUUUGGAUAAUUCGAAUGAUUAUUAUUAAUUUUAAUCACUUAUCUAAUAAAAUAUUUUAAAUUCAUUUUUAUUUUGUGGCUAAUUUACGGAUUUUAUUCAUUAAUGAUAUAAACGAAGAAAGACCGAUGCACUAAGCAAAAGGAAAGCCAGGCUUGAUUGGCUAAGGGGCAUAGGUUUGGAAAAAGUGGUCUUCGAACAAAGGGAGUAUAGGAAGAAUCUCAGGAAGAGGUUCCUAGUCUAGUUCCGUGCUGUUCUCAUUAAAAAGAAGAAUCACAUGAAGAGGUUUCCUGUUUGCAUCACCUUUUCUCUGGUAUUUUUGAAACAUGUGGAGAGCUUGUUCAAAGAACUCGAUUCAACACGCUACUCUAGACCUGGUUCUUCGUCACAAGGUUCCAAACAAGAGGGUAUGCAGUUAAGUUCCGUCAAAAUCUUUUAAGGGUAGCACUAGCCUUAUAGACGAGUGACCGCUGAACAAUAAGAACAAAGCCACUUUGUCCCUCUAACGUCGAAUGAUCUACUCGCUUGUACUUCUCUUUGUCAAAAUUCAUUUAGAUUAACCAUUCUAACUUUUAACGUGAGAGCUCCGAAAAAUCACCUCGCAAAUAAUAGUAUAGAUUUAUUAAUAUUAGAGCUGGGAUUUAUUAGUCAGGAUCUGAUCCAAGAUCCACUCCGGAUUCGUUCCAAACUUAAAAUAUCAAAAGUUAACAAAAAAAAGUUUAGGAUAUCAAAAGUUUCCGGAUCCAGAUAAUAAACUCUCAUAUCCGUCAAAAUCAAAUCUGGAUUUCAGAUAUUAAAUUCAAAGACAAUUAUUAAAAGUGGAAAAUGACUAAUUAGCUUAGGUAACAUGAAUGAAGAAUUACAUGUUGCAAAAGAGAUGAAAAAAAAACGAAAAACAUAUAUUUAUUUAAAGAUAAAAUUGUAUUAACAGUGGAUUUUCUAUGCUUGGCAUGAAUUUCAAACAUUCAUUUUCCGUGGUUGACAUUGCAACAACAAAUUGUUGUCUCGGUUUCCAACCAAAAGGUCUUCUGCAAGGGGAAUAACGUAUCAUGUAAUUGAGUCUCAGUUGUCUAGAUCUCUACCACAAUCUAAAUCCAUGAGUUCAACAACUUAAUCACACUUUAAACCUGCACACACAAGUCCUUAGUCACUUGGACUUCUUAAGUAUCUGAGUAUCCACUUGAUGGCAUCUCAAUGACUUCUUAAGUAUCUGAGUAUCCAUUUGAUAGCAUCUCAAUGACUUCUACCAGGAUCAACAUAUAGUUUGAUAUCGAAGAGACCGAGGUUGCUCAGUUGUUGGUUGAGCUGCCUACCAAGACCUUGAGAAUGGAGAGCUCGUGUACUCGGAAUGUGCCUGUUAAGCGUCCUUUUAGGUUAUGGACUGAGAUCCCGACGGAAGAGAAGGUUCAUGUGCAAGGGAUCCCGGGUGGUGAUCCGGCCUUCUUUGGAGGUUUGUCGUCGGUUUUCUCACGGGAGCUGUGGAAGUGUACUGGUUAUGUGCCUAAGAAGUUUAACUUCAAGUAUAGAGAGUUUCCAUGCUGGGAUGAGGAUGAGUGUCAGGAAGAAAACGGCGCUGGGGUGUUGUUUUCUAUGUCGAAGGAGAGUUUGAUCGCUGCUCCUGCGAGUGCUUUGGUUGCAAUGAGGAGUGUUGAUGAUAAAGGAACCACAAAAGACCUGGACUCUGGGGAAGCUGAGAUGAAACAUUCUCAGAGUGCUGUGGACAAGGAUAAGAGGUUGCUUCGUCCCUUGAUAACGAGUAAGCGAAGAAAAGAACUGUUUGGAGCUUCUAAAGAGCGGAUGAAGAAGAAGGUCGAAGUUGCUGACAAAGAAGAGGAUGAUGAUAAGAAAGGUCAGUGAAACAACCACUUCUCUUUUUAAGCAAACUUUAGUUAGCCAUUAUUCAUUGUUCUUAAAUAAAGAAAUAUCGUCUUUCUUUCAGCAGUUCGACCAGCAAGUGGUUUUAAACCAUCAGAAACAGAAGGUUUAAGUAGAGACUGUGGGAUCGCAAAGAAUGAUAAGUCAAAGAAAGCUGCGUUUGAAGAAUCUAUUGAUGGUGGGCUUGGCGAGGGUGAAUCUGGUAAUACAGAAAUUGGUGUUGAAUGCUCCAAAGAACAGAAUCUUUCUGACGUUCAUGCUAAUGGUGCUGGAAAACAGGAAGAGAAAGCUGGCCAUCAUUUCCGAAUUGUGCUUAAGAGCUCGGCUACUGAAGAUUCUUCCGUCCCAGCAAGAAAAGAUGUUACACACAAUGAAGCUGAUAAGGCAGAGGAGGUACGUGUUAGACUUGCAUAUAUGAGACUUACCUUUGAAUUGUCUUUGAUUAUAGCAACAAAUGCUGAAGUUUUCAGUUGAUUAUUAUCUAGGUGGUUUAAUUCAAAGCAAUUUGAUCUCUUAUAUAUAUACAUGCUCUCCUGUAAGUGCGUUGAUGUCUUGUAGACUGUAACAACUGUUUGAAUUAAGCAAGGCCGAAUUUAAUAUCUUAUUGAAGAUUAAAGAUAACAAUGGGGAAGCAACUGAUAACAAAUACUAUUUGCUUAUUUUCGCAGAGGCAAGGUACAAUAGAUGAUACUCCAGGAGAUAAUGCAGUUGAUUCGCCUGAAAGUUCCCAGAAGCCUUCUACACGAGAAGCUGAAGAGAAAAAUUGUGAUGCUGUCAGUGGUAAAAUCAGUUCAAGGAAGAACCAAGUCCAAAAAGAAAUUGGGGAGACUGGUGCUGGUGGAGCUGUAGGGCAGCAGACUCUGGAGUAUAACAAAACGACACAGAGCAGUUCACUUCCUCCUCCUGAUGAGCAGAAACCGCACCCUGUUGAUAUGAUAUCAGAAAGAACUACUGACUUAAAACGAGAGGUGUUGGUUUCGGAAGCAGAGAAAAAUAGUCUGGAAACAAAGCCCGGAUCUGGUGCACUUGAAGAGCCAUCAAAGCCAUGCAGACCUGUUCCGCACACGUUUUCAGUAUAUAGCAGGCCUAAGAUGGUAGUCAGCAUUGGGAAAUCAUCGUCUAGUUCAGCCACGGAAAAGUCACCUAAGCCCUCCUCUACUUCCAGGAACUCCAUACCUCCCUCCAAGCAACAACCAAGUGACGGUGAUGAAAACGCUAAUACUAAUGAUGAGGACUGUGUUUCCAGUGAUGCGAUCCGAGAGAGAGAUGGGGAUGAUGAGAAAUCUCUGAAAGAACAUACUAAAUCGAUGCAGCAGAGCCGCGCUUCUCAUUCUU